rnacentral:rRNA from 2 species
UUGUGCUGCAUCAUGAUUACAUUGAGUGAGUGGCGAACUGGUGAGUAACACGUGGGAAACCUGCCCAGAAGCGGGGGAUAACACCUGGAAACAGAUGCUAAUACCGCAUAACAACUUGGACCGCAUGGUCCGAGUUUGAAAGAUGGCUUCGGCUAUCACUUUUGGAUGGUCCCGCGGCGUAUUAGCUAGAUGGUGAGGUAACGGCUCACCAUGGCAAUGAUACGUAGCCGACCUGAGAGGGUAAUCGGCCACAUUGGGACUGAGACACGGCCCAAACUCCUACGGGAGGCAGCAGUAGGGAAUCUUCCACAAUGGACGAAAGUCUGAUGGAGCAACGCCGCGUGAGUGAAGAAGGGUUUCGGCUCGUAAAACUCUGUUGUUAAAGAAGAACAUAUCUGAGAGUAACUGUUCAGGUAUUGACGGUAUUUAACCAGAAAGCCACGGCUAACUACGUGCCAGCAGCCGCGGUAAUACGUAGGUGGCAAGCGUUGUCCGGAUUUAUUGGGCGUAAAGCGAGCGCAGGCGGUUUUUUAAGUCUGAUGUGAAAGCCUUCGGCUCAACCGAAGAAGUGCAUCGGAAACUGGGAAACUUGAGUGCAGAAGAGGACAGUGGAACUCCAUGUGUAGCGGUGAAAUGCGUAGAUAUAUGGAAGAACACCAGUGGCGAAGGCGGCUGUCUGGUCUGUAACUGACGCUGAGGCUCGAAAGUAUGGGUAGCAAACAGGAUUAGAUACCCUGGUAGUCCAUACCGUAAACGAUGAAUGCUAAGUGUUGGAGGGUUUCCGCCCUUCAGUGCUGCAGCUAACGCAUUAAGCAUUCCGCCUGGGGAGUACGGCCGCAAGGCUGAAACUCAAAGGAAUUGACGGGGGCCCGCACAAGCGGUGGAGCAUGUGGUUUAAUUCGAAGCUACGCGAAGAACCUUACCAGGUCUUGACAUACUAUGCAAAUCUAAGAGAUUAGACGUUCCCUUCGGGGACAUGGAUACAGGUGGUGCAUGGUGUCGUCAGCUC